ACGCUCGACACCUACGGAGGCAGCAGUGGGGAAUAUUGCACAAUGGGGGAAACCCUGAUGCAGCAACGCCGCGUGAAGGAAGACGGUUUUCGGAUUGUAAACUUCUGUUCUUAGUGAAGAUAGUGACGGUAGCUAAGGAGCAAGCCACGGCUAACUACGUGUCAGCAGCCGCGGUAAUCUGAGCGGGCUGGCAAGGC
rnacentral:rRNA from 1 species